rnacentral:tRNA from 1 species
AAGAUGUUAGUAAAAUAAUUACCAGGCCUUGUCGGGGCCUAAUUACUAGUUUAAGCCUUGUAUAUCUUA